AAUCUGGUGGUUUAUUAGCUUUUCUUGAUUCCUAUUGCUUCUGUGAGAUGGGAAUGGUCUUGCAGGUCAGGUGACAUGGAGGAAGACACUCACUCACCAAGCAUCAGGGCCCUGGACAAGAAUACUUUUCACUCCUAUGUGAUUACAUCUGCAAUAUGCUUCACAACAGGGCACCGAAUAGGGACAUUACAGUGACUGUAAAUCAGGAAUAAACAGUGCCUUGCAAGUACUUUGUCAGAAAUCAGGAACAGAAAUGAUCUCCAACUUACAUUUUCAGCAGCUCUCCUAUGGCCCUUGUAAGGCAAUAACAGAAGGAAACCCGUUUCCAAAUAAAAAGCAAACACUCAUGUAGCAGAACUGAGGCAUGAUGCAAACCACCAGCAUUUUAUGCCACAAUGCACGUAGACCACAGCCUAGAUCACGUUGCACAGAAUAUAGAACUUGGAGGCAUAUGAUCCAAUCCUAUGCAUCCAAGCUGUAUACACUCGGUGUGUUUGCCAGAAAUGGGUUGUACAGAAAAGCUUGGCAGCUGUUUGAACUCUGUGGCAUUAGGUAACAUUAUCUAGAUUACAGUCUAAAAAAAAUCUUAGUUGCACUUGAAUUUUGAUGGGGACAAAGAUAAAUUAGAAAUUGGAGCUGCUGAUAUUGCAUUUCCUUGUCUCACUACCCACCCACCCCAAGGAAAUGCAAAUGUAAGUUAAGUCCACCCAAGCACAAGUGUAAGAGGCAAAGCCUUCCAUUUCCACCCUGCACAGCUGUUUACAUUAGAGAAACAAUUUUAAAAAUAAAAAAGAGAACCCCAUGAUAUAAUUGCAACCCAUGAGCACACCACUGCUAUCACUUCUAGAGACAUUUGUCUGGGAGGGAGCUGUUGCAAUUUUUAGAACUCAGAAAGGACAGAUGCCAGAUCGUUAUUCUUGGCUUUACGAUAGAAAACAGCUUAUAGACAUAAGAUGCUAUUUACUGCCUACUGUACAUUUCAAAGAACAGAUAUCUUGUCAAUCAUACAGUCUUUGUAUUACUUGACUAUGCCAUUUUAAUUUUGCUGUGGUUAGUUAUUUUAAAAUCAGUGUUACUCUGUGAUCAGCUAUCCCUUAUCUACGGUGGUGAGAAUAGCUUGGGGUUGUGACUUAAAAGACUGCAAAUAUGACUAGUCUCGGCUGUGAAACUUUGAGACCCAUAGGCACAGUCUUUUCUUACAAAAUGCAAUCAUUACAGCAUGCAUAUAGCCCUGAGCCGUUUUACUUAUUAAGCCAAAAACUGCUUAAAAUGGCAAUCCGCUCUUGGAAAAAACAACUUGCUGCUUUUUGCCUGUACAAGAUCCCUUUUGAUACACAUAAAUUUUUAGAAAAUCUAAGCCUAGGUCAAUUGUCUAUCUCUGAGGUAGAUACAGUCACAAGGGGAUAAUAAAUAGAUGCUCAGUUACACUUCUGUGCUCAUUUUUACACACAGUAUUGUGGAUGCAACAAGCACACAUAAUUUGUUCUCCUCAAGAGUUACUUUAAAAAACCCAAAACACACCAGUGGGAAUGUGGCAUUGUGUGUGCAACUGGUGGGAGAGAGAUCAAGAAAAACACUAGCCUGAAGCAGCAGGAGCAGUGCAAUGUCUUCUACCAGGACUGGUUCUGGGAACAUUGGAAAUGCAGAUGUCUAAGAUGUAUGCACAUCAAACCUCAUAAUCUCUUGGUCACUCCAUUUUAGGAACAAGUCCUCCAAGGCUCAGCUCACAGCACUCCGUGUAAGGUCCUCAAACAAGUGCCCAUGACCACGGUGUGAAGCUGAGGGGAUGAAAAGAAGCAGCUGGAAAAGCAGGGAUUGCAGAAUUUUAUUUCUUCUUUUCCUUCCAUUGCACUUGUGAAAGUUGUACAUAGCAAUAGGAGAAUAACCUGGCCACAAAUAAUGAAACUCCUCAGUGAAAGGAAAUCUGAAGCAUCACUAUGAAUCACUAACAUUAAUUCUUAAUAAAUUUUUUAAUUCUUAACUACGCCAAGCCAAGGCUCACCAAAGACCUUAUGACUACACUGUUGUGACUGAGAUGAGACUACCUGCUCUUCGGAUUUGCUCUCCUUUUGGAUCAGGGAGUUAAAAACACAAUAGCACAAAAAUUCCAAAAUAUUUCUAGAAAGGAAAAAAGCAACCUUUGGAAGAUGCAACCCACUACAGAACAGAUCUGUAUGUCAAAAUUAUACUCUUCCUUGUCCUCCUUCCAAAGAAGAAACCACAUUGUUCCAUGACAGUAAGCAUUUUGGUCACAAUACAAUUGCAUUUUUUCAAAACUGCAUUUUCUAGGUGAAAUAUUCUUCUCACAAGAGGUUCGGUCAAUCCUCUCCCCUUUUCCUCAGCUGCUGCUAUAUCACAGUGGCAGGAAAAGCAUCUCCAGUGUGCUGGCAAAACCUGUGACCACCACAUGCUCUACUCAGAAAGCCCUGGAGGGUGUCAGACUGAUGAGCUCCAUAUUCCCAGCCAGAUGUUCCACACAGGGUGUCACCACAACAGCUGGCUACCGUAAGGCACCUGCACAGAAGCUGCUGUGCCUACCUCAUCGACCACAGCUGGAAAAGUGUUGCUGAUUUCUGAGCAGAGAGGAUAUUCCUCCUUCAUCACUUAUACUCAGAUUUGCCUACUUUCUGAAGAAGUGAACACAACUUGAGUCUGAACUCAUCCAUUGGGAAGGGUUCAUGAAAUACUCAGUACUGCUCAUCAUUCUCACAAUUUGUUGAAGGUUUGUCUUCACAACAGCUGAAUAGAACAUACCUGCUGAAAAGCCAGAUUUUAAACUUGGACAGCCUGCAAAUUAUUCUUACGUGGCUAGAAGGACACAUUCUCAGGGCUCAUCCUCUUGGGAAAGAAAAAGGAGAAAAAAGCCUCACCAAGGACUGAAUUCCCCAGGACAAUAUGGCUGAGCUUAUCUGCAACUAAGUCAGAGUCAGCCUAGUUCUUCUGCCUUAAGUUCACUAGGUCCAUCUAUGAGGAUUAUGCUUCCCACAGUUGUUUGGAUGGUCACAUCAAAUAUAACAUAAUUUGGGAACAUGGGAUGCUUAUUAUUCCAGGAUCAUCAGUACUUAGUACAUCAGCAGUGUGUUUUUACGUUUGACUGGAUGUACUGGAAUGGUUGAUGGGUACCUGAAGCUGAUGGUGAGAUAGCUCCUGUGCUCAGCUGAAGCCACCCAGGAUGAGGCAUGAGCAAAGGAAGCCAUCCAUCAAAGGCCUGGAACAAGUCUCCAGCUACCCAAGCCAAAAGGGUUUGGGAGCACUGUGGCAAGAAAAUCAUAUAGAAUCAUAAACAGUUUGGGUUGGAAGGGACCUUAAAGACAAUAUAGUUCCAACCUCCUGCCACAGGCAGGGACACCUUCUACUAGCCCAGGUUGCUCCAAGCCCUGUCCAACCUGGCCUUGAACACUGCCAGGGAUAGGGCACUUACUUAAAGUAAUCAAUUGUAUACUCUUUGAAAUAUAACUUUUUGCUCUUGUGCCUUCCUGGGGCUCCCACUGCCAGCACUGGAGAAAUCAAGAAUGGCAGUA